CCCGCCAUUAAACCAAAAGAAGAAGAAGAAGAUUGUAACGUCAGCUCAUCGUAAGCAUUAGAUUAUUCACCCAGUGUUUAUUCACAAGAUUGACCAAAUCUUAUUUAGAUGACCAAAUUAUGAACAAUGACCCACCCUGAGGCUGUAAGAGUGUGCCUGAUGAGAGAAUGCGUACUUGAAGCAGUUAUAGGACUUAAUAUAUUCAAGAAGACCAAGCGAUCCUUAUAGGACUACAUGCAAAGCAAUGUACUCCAGACCGCACAACUGGACAUACAGAUUGUGCCCUGAUGCCAUCUGCCCCGUUCUCCCAGCCUCAUCUUCCCUCUCUAUGCCUAGCUUCACAUCGAUUGGCUCUUCUUUGGCUCCCCUCAUCCCGUCUGCCUGCCUCGCUGCUCUCCCUGAUAACAUUUCCUGACUGAUGCCUUGCACUCUGACUCUUUCUGCAAGGUGCCAUUCUCAGCAGUGACUCAAUUUAGUGCCACCCUGCUGCUUGGCAUUGCACUUCUGAGGUCAUCACCAUCUUUCUUCAGCCAACCAAAAUGAUUCUCACCAACCACCCCAGCUCUGCUAAGCUUGAUGUUGGAGGUCUGCUGUUUUUGAAGCAGGGGACCACUGUCCAUUAAAGGCUUCAUAAACCAUUUUACAAAAUCACAUAAGAUAGGGUAGUUCAUACUCCAUGCGAUGUGCCAUACAAUGGAAGGGCCAUGUUCCUUAUCACAUCUGGAUACUGCAAAGCUCCUGUCUCCUCAACAAUUUACGAACUAAUCAAUUAUUAAAUGAAGAAAUGCUAUGUAAAUGCAAAGAUAUUUCUUCCUGUGGAAUUUGAGUCUUAAAUUUAGUAAUUACUGUUUUAUGGCAUAAAUAAAAGUUAAAUAUUAUAUUAUUUUAAAAGCAUCAUGUAUCUUUUUUCAUUCCUAAUGUAUUCUACUAGUAGUGUGUCAGGCACUUUAACCCUUAUGAAAAAAGCCAAGGAAAAUAGAGAGCAUCAUAUCAAAACAACUGUUUAUUUGCACAUGCAACAUUAAACUAUGGUAUACA